UGGAUGAAAAAAAGACAGCCGGCUUUUGAGAUGUCAAGGAGUGACCUUGAACCACCUCUGCUAACUGUUAAAGAGUGACAGUCUGCCUUGCCCUUCUCCGUGCAAUAGAGAUUUUCACUCAGCUUUUUUCUUCAAACACUUGACCUCUGACUCUCACUCAAACCAAGCUGGGAGCCAGAGCUUCUUUUAUUAUGACAUUGAGAGAGUUACACGGCAAAAACCUCUAGGGUCCAAAUCAUUAGCAUGUUUUUGAAAAUAUGUUUUUAUGAACGUGUUCUUUUAUCGACCGACACCUGGGAAAAGCCAUUUGUAGCAUCCAGCGCUCUAUGAUGACCACUAUUCAAGCUUAAUUGAAUCGAAUCUCUAUUCAUCUUAAUUAAAUAAAAAAAUGAGGAUGUGGAAAUAUAUAUACUGUAUAUAUAUGCAGGUUUGUGCAGGCCCGGCUUUUGCAAGCAAACGGUCACGCUGUAAAUAUUUAUCGUGCAUCAUUGUGUUACUGCGGCGAUAACAGACAUCAGUCCUCAAGAGUUACCUUGGAAAUGUCUCUCUGCUAUUAAACUGGAUGUGCUAUCAUUCAGCUUCCCAGUUCUACACGUGCCUGUUUAACUAACACUAUGUGCCACAUUAAGGCCUUGUGAGAAAUUCGCACAAAAAGCUGUGGCACUUAAUUGUGAAUGUGUGUUCAAACCGUUCAAUACUAACUCAAGUAGCCAUAUCCCCAAACCCAUCUCCAGAUUGUCGAUUUGUGGUCAGGUGCUUUUGAGUAUCUGAAAUAUCGGUUUUGUUCCGAGCGCUGACGAGUAUAUUAUUCACGUAGGAUACGUCGUAAUUGUAAACACAUAGCAGACAAAACAAGAGAAUGUUGAGGAACGUGAAAAUAUGCUUCCAACAAUUAUUAAUCAACAGUGAGACGUCUUCAGAGUGGAUCUGAUAAAUUGCACAUAGCGUUAGGCUAAAAACGGCAAAGCUUCGAGUUGCUACAACAACUUGCGAUAAAAGGACAAUUACGCGACGGAACGAAGGUACGCGCGUGUUAAUUUGCCACAUUCAUAAGCACAAAUAAAUGUGACCCGUUCGUGAAAUCAGUUUGAAGAGGGCGACACUUCAAUUUUGAUUGCCUCAUUCAUAAUGUCCCGCUCGAACGAUUUCGAUCUUCAUUACGCCGGGAGACAGCAGUUUGCUUAACGAUAAUGACGGAGCACGAAAGCUCAGCUCAAUCAGGAGCCAACUCCUGCCACAACUUCCACAGCCGAGAGGGUUCAACCAGCUGCCUCAGGUGUUGCGGUACGGAGAUCUUAACCCUCUGGCCUCCCCGCGGAAUACAUUGACUGUGGGAGACAAUCAGUCGUUCGUACAGCCGCCUCUCAUUACAUAGCUGAGCGCGUACGCUUAAAGCCAGCCACGUGUCAUUUGUAAAUGGUUUGAACUGAAGCGUUGGAAAGUUUAGCGCCAUCUCGGGACAGCUGCUUUGUGGAUGCGAGGAACGCAGCUUGGAGUCCUCUAAAACUGGAAGGAGAAGAAAACAAAUUAUGCAGCUGGAUGAUACUCACAAGAGUGUGGAAAUAGCUUGGGAGAACGAGCGCUGCUUAAGGACGACUUGAAGCAAAGCUUGUGUCUAUUUUUGUGUUAUAUAACGCUCUCCAUAAUGACAUGUCAUUUCCCUCAAAUGUCACAUACUGCUAAAUACCAAUAGGAAAUAGCACGUUGUAAACUAAACACAUGUUUAAAGAAAACUUCGCCUCAAGUAAAUACAUCAACACAGGAAAGAAAUCUAAUGAGUUUUCUUUUAUAGAUAGCAGUGACAUUGACAUUUUGAUUUGUCUAUCCUAAUAAUGUAAGUGACUCGGAAACACGCUUUAUUUCCACAUAAUGUGGGUUUGUUGGUCAUAUCUUGGUACCUGGGAUACAUUUACAAAUUUUUUAUUCACUCACUUUUUGAUUUGGUGGUUUAACAUGUGGCCCAACGGGAUGAAAAGACGUCCAUCCGAUGCAUGCUGAAGAUCUGGGUAUUUUUUGAAUACUUGUUUUUGCAUACUAUGUAGCGAAAUAGCCAGUUUUGUAUGCAUGGAUGGACAACAGUAAGUGUGUCCUAUGGUGAAAUAAAAAAAAAGAUGAUAGUUAAAUUAAAUCUCUCUGAGAUUGUUAAAUGAUAUUUACAUUCAUGCAAUUGGCAGACGCUUUUAUUCAAAACGACUUGCAUUGCAUUAUGCUUCACAUUGGUGAGUGCAAUCCCCUGUGAUCGAACCCACAACCUUGCGUUGUUGACGCAAUGCUCUCACCACUGAGCUACAGGAAAGCCAUAUAGAAUAUAAAUUAUAAUAUAAAAUAAUAUAUAAUUAACAGCUUGUUUUCAGAAUUUUGCUAUGUCGAACCAUAGGACAUGCAUAAUUUAACACUACCCAAGUGAUAAAAUAAUACUUUACAAAGUUCAAAACAAACAUAAAACUGACAUGACAACGAACCUUAUAUAUCACACAGUGUUGUUACUGUAGAUGCUAAAGGCAUCAGAUGUCAAAACUCAAAGAUGUUAUCACAGGUUACACCAUUACUGCUAAUAUUAUAAAAUCGGGUAUGUGCUAAAAACACUCGCUCAAUUAACAGCCCAUAUUAAAUAGUAAAACACACAUAUUUUGGGUCCUCGUCGUGUUGUUACAUCUCAAUCCAUUUUCCUUUUUCAUUUAAAAAAGGCCAGCCAUCUGGCUGCUAUAGUGUUUCUGGCAAUAACUUGUUUGGCACAUAUUCAGCCGUUUAUCACAUUAAGACACUCCGUGGAAAAAUCUCUUUAAUAACAUAUUUAUGGAUUGAAGAGGAACAAGUGAAAAACGUGUAAAACUAUCUUUCACUCAGAUAAAACAACAGGGGGCUGAAAGAGCGAGAAGAUGUAAUUAUGGUGAAUCCGCUUCCAAUAUACUCCAAAUCAUGGUUAUGGCGCUAAUAAGCUGUCGGGGGUGCCAACAAAGCUGUUAUGCGGCGGACUUUUCAAAAUAAUGGGUUGCUUGGAUACACUUUAGAGGAAUCAUACAAAUAGAAGAGGAAAGACUGUGAAUAUCAUUAAUAAAACAUAACCGCCCAGUACACAGACGCAAAAAGCUGUAAAACAGAACCUAAGGGAAACAACGUUGAAUAAAGACAGCUAGAGCAAAAACUCUGAAGACUUAAGUUAAAGUAUCAAUGUUUUACCAAAAAUUGUUAUGGAGACUUUGUUUUUUAGGAAAUAAAUGAGAUGAAUUGCUCAACACAUGAAGAGUAUGAAGGUGUAAAAUGUAGAUUGAAGAGGUAAAAUUAUCUGAAUUGAGGUCAAUUUGACUAAAUUCAAAUUGAGAAUUUCAGUAAUAUUGACUUUUGAUUGCAGACUUGAAAUUCCAAGCUCAGUUUGAGAUAUUCUUGAGAUCUCUCCUGAAACUCUAACGGACACAUUUGGGAGAUUUCUGGGUCAGUUUGUACCCGAAAAUACACGGUAGGCUUUGAUAAAAGUUUCCAUUUGUACACCAUUGAAUCUCAUUACGAGAAAUGGUUGAGAUUUCAUAAAAAUAUCAUAAGUUGUGUAUUAUUGUAUAUUGUAUUUUGGUUGUGGGUUUUUUUAAUAUGAUCAACCGUAAAAGUUGCACAUAUUUUCAACAGCAGUAUUGCAUAUUAUCACACAUUACCAAAAUGAAAAGCCAAUGCAGCUAAUAUAUUCCCAUGUAUUGCAAUAGUCUAACAAACAUUCAGUCUCCUCUCGGAGUUGUUUUAAACAUAUGUAUGGAUGCUGGAUCUGUAAAGUCCUUGGUGUGAUGACUGCACACAUCCAAGGUUGCUGUGAUCUCCUUAAAUGUAAGCUGUCAAGCAUUCUCCGUCCAGCCUCACCGCUGCUGCGCUUUUGUCUCUGUUGUGAAGGUCAACCUAUGUCUCAGACAGACCCAUCUUGAAUAAAAACAUCUGUGAAAAAGCACGCUGAAAGUUUAAAGCGAAAGCUCGCCAAAAAACGAAGGUACCGUCAUUAUUUAUUCAUACUCGUAUCAUUCCAAACUCGGGUGCUCAAUCUUCGCCUAGAACGGAGAAUCUGAAAUAUCUUGAUGCAGUUUUUUCCCAUACAUUUGAGAGCUGUAUGCAUUUUUAUGGUGUUUUACAUAAAUGAGGGCUCCAUAAACAUCCUUCUGUGAAGAAAGAGAGCAAUGCCACACAAGUGAGGGUGAGUAAAUCUCAGACAUGGAGCAAACUCCUCCUUGGAAGAGUGCAUUGCGCACCGUACCGUUACUCUGCUCAAGCAGAUCAAAGAGCAGAAGCUCACUUUUGUUUUCUAUGUGUGUAGGAACACCAGACGUCCUUCCCCUGACACCUUCACCGUCUCAUUUGGAAAACUAUUAAUAUGACAGAGAGCUGUCAGGUCUGAAUACACAAGACAGGGCAAGCAGAGAAUAAAUGCGUCUGCGCUGAGUGAGAAAGGCCUCCGGUGAUGAGAGCCGUGAUGGACAGAGUGGUAAUUGUGCGCUGGACCGGAUGCCUUCCUUCAUCCUGGCGUGUGAUGGGCACUCUUUCCUCAGGAUCUCUCUGCGUCCCGAGCUGAUGUUUACCCUGCUCCGAGCUUGCUUUGCAUGUCGAUCUGAGGGGGGAGUAGAUUGCGUGUCAAGUGCUCUCCCGGGCUAAACUAUCAUUUCAAAGUGUUAUCACACGAUCCGACUCUCAAGGGCCCGGCAUAAGGAGACGCUGGAAGAGUCUGCCAGACGCAGAAGUGACACAGUGGUGCACUAAAAAUGAUGCAAAUGAGGGCAGGUAACAUUGCAGUAGACUACGGUGUUACUCAACUCUUACGUAACUUUGGUAGAGACAGAGUUUAGGAGAGCAGAUGUCUUUUUUAAGGAUUUUGUCACUUUUUCAGAAUGGAAAGAAAACAAGAAAUGAUUGGAGGUUUAUUUCUUGCAUCAGCCCCACAGCUCUGUGUAUUUUGACACACAUGCUCUAAGUUGAUGUACGUGUUAUUAAACACACGAUUUAGUAAAAAUCGUGUUUUAUUAUUAAGAAGAUUAUUAUAUUAUUAUUGUAUGUGUUUGGAUUAAAAUGAUCAUUUUUGUUUCAUUCUGUGAACUGCUUUUAAUAUUUCUCCCAUAUGUCAAAUAAAACGAUUGUUUCAGUUUG